rnacentral:rRNA from 1 species
AUGAACGCUGGCGGCGUGUUUUAGGCAUGCAAGUCAAACGGGUAGGUGUAGCAAUACAUCUACCAGUGGCAAACGGGUGCGUAACACAUUGGUAACCUGCCUCUGUCUCAGGGAUAAUUCCGCGAAAGCGGGACUAAUACCUGAUGGUCUUCCCCCGCGCAGGCGGGGUCAGUAAAGGCGCAAGCCGGACAGAGAGGGACCUAUGGUCCAUCAGCUAGUUGGUGAGGUAACGGCUCACCAAGGCAAUGACGGAUAGCGGGCGUGAGAGCGCGACCCGCCUCAGUGGAACUGCGACACUGUCCACACUCCUACGGGAGGCUGCAGUCAAGAAUCUUCCCCAAUGGACGAAAGUCUGAGGGAGCGACGCCGCGUGCAGGAAGAAACCCCUCGGGGCGUAAACUGCUUUUCUCUGGGAAUAACUCUGAAGGUACCAGAGGAAUAAGGGGCUGCUAACUUCGU